rnacentral:rRNA from 1 species
UAGGGAAUAUUAGUAAUGGGCGAAAGCCUGAACUAGCAACGCCGCGUGUGCGAAGAAGGCCUUCGGGUUGUAAAGCACUUUUUGAGAGGAUGAGGAAGGACGGUACUCUCAGAAUAAGUCUCGGCUAACUACGUGCCAGCGGCCGCGGUAACACGUAGGAGGCGAACGUUAUCCGGAUUUACUGGGCGUAAAGCGCGUGUAGGUGGUUUGGUAAGUAGGGCGUGAAAGCUCCUGGCUCAACUGGGAGAGGCCGUUCUAAACUGCCGAACUAGAGGAUGGUAGAGGGAGGUGGAAUUCCGGGUGUAGCGGUGGAAUGCGCAGAUAUCCGGAGGAACACCAGUGGCGAAAGCGGCCUCCUGGACCACUCCUGACACUCAGACGCGAAAGCUAGGGUAGCAAACGGG